UCCGGUUUGUCACCGGCAGUCUCAUUAGAGUGCCCAACUAAAUGUAGCAACUAAUGACAAGGGUUGCGCUCGUUGCGGGACUUAACCCAACAUCUCACGACACGAGCUGACGACAGCCAUGCAGCACCUGUGUUCCGAUUCCCUUUCGGGCACACCCAAAUCUCUUCAGGCUUUCGGACAUGUCAAAGGUAGGUAAGGUUUUUCGCGUUGCAUCGAAUUAAACCACAUCAUCCACCGCUUGUGCGGGUCCCCGUCAAUUCCUUUGAGUCUCAGCCUUGCGGCCGUACUCCCCAGGCGGUCAACUUCACGCGUUAGCUUCGUUACUGAGUACUAAUGCACCCAACAACCAGUUGACAUCGUUUAGGGCGUGGACUAC
rnacentral:misc_RNA from 1 species